rnacentral:rRNA from 1 species
UACGAAGGGGGCUAGCGUUGCUCGGAAUGACUGGGCGUAAAGGGCGCGUAGGCGGAUGGCACAGUCAGAUGUGAAAUUCCCGGGCUUAACCUGGGGGCUGCAUUUGAUACGUGUUGUCUUGAGUUCGGAAGAGGGUCGUGGAAUUCCCAGUGUAGAGGUGAAAUUCGUAGAUAUUGGGAAGAACACCGGUGGCGAAGGCGGCGACCUGGUCCGACACUGACGCUGAAGCGCGAAAGCGUGGGGAGCAAACAGG